AGAAGAAUAUUGAGAAAGAAAGAAGAAAAGAGAGGAGAAAGAGAAGAAGAGGGAGAGAAAAAGAGAAUUUAGGGAGUGAAUAUCAAGUUUAUUUUAUGUCAAAUUUGUAUCUAUUACAAUGCACAAACCUCCUUCAUAUGGGGUUUUGAAAAACCUAUUCUAAAUAGGAAACAAUGAAUCAAAUACUAGAGAAUCUAGUAAAUAAAUAUAUAAUAAAAUCCUCGGAAAUCCAGUAAAUAAACCCUGAUAAUUUUUCCCAAAAUAAGAAUCUAAAUAUGGAAAAUAAUCAUAAUAAUCUAAUAGGAUUUACAUCAUUUUUUCGUGGUCCCGUGGGAAUGUGAGACAAUAUCAUUUAAGAUGUAUGAGUUUUAACUUGUCGCGACUCAUCAAAAUUUUCACUUGCGACCUGGAAAGAAAUCGAUUUGAAAAGUAAUUUUCCCCUUUUUUGAGUAAAGAUCAUGUCUUGGGCUUUAGUAGUGGCUCCACAGGUCUUUUAAUUCUUUUUAUGAUGAUUCACAUUCUUUUCACAUGGUUAAUCCUUUGAUGAUGCUAUUAUACUCUCAAGAUGCUAAUACAAAUUACUAUUGAUUUGAUGUGUAUUACCACCCUGUGUUUGCCUUCUUUUCAUUGUUAACUGUAACCUUGUGCUACAAUUUACUCUACCGUAAUACAGGCAAAACAUGGAAUUAACUGUCUUGAGCUUCCUCUCAUUCAGCACAAGAAGUUGCCUGAUUCUGAUAGACUUCCCUCUGUGUUGAGUGGUUGUCAAACUUGAUUCCUCAUUGACCGUAAAUAGUAAAUAUCUUGGCCACAUUUCAGUUAGAUUCGUGAAGAGAGACAGCUCCUCCUUUUGGGCUGUGAGGCACAAGGUACCAAGGUUAUCCAAUCACAGAUACUGCAUUUGAUUGGAUUGUCAUAACUUCACCUGAAGCCGCUCUAGUUUUUCUUGAUGCUUGGAAGUAAACUUCACAUGGAUGUUGGCACGUCAUUUAUUAUUCUAGAAUGGUCAUUAGUCAGUUAGAGGAAAACUCUAUAAAUAAGAUGGGAGAGGGGAAUUAGAGGGGAUUCAAUGAAUUGUUUAGAAAAAGUGGGGGAGAGAUCAAGGCCUCUCGAAUGCCUUUGAUUAUGUUUAAUUUCAUGACUUUCAUUCCAGUUAAUAUCAAUACAAUUCAUCUAUCUUUACAAUA